rnacentral:rRNA from 1 species
UGGGGAAUAUUGGACAAUGGGCGCAAGCCUGAUCCAGCCAUGCCGCGUGAGUGAUGAAGGCCCUAGGGUUGUAAAGCUCUUUCACCGGAGAAGAUAAUGACGGUAUCCGGAGAAGAAGCCCCGGCUAACUUCGUGCCAGCAGCCGCGGUAAUACGAAGGGGGCUAGCGUUGUUCGGAAUUACUGGGCGUAAAGCGCACGUAGGCGGAUCGAUCAGUCAGGGGUGAAAUCCCAGGGCUCAACCCUGGAACUGCCUUUGAUACUGUCGAUCUGGAGUAUGGAAGAGGUGAGUGGAAUUCCGAGUGUAGAGGUGAAAUUCGUAGAUAUUCGGAGGAACACCAGUGGCGAAGGCGGCUCACUGGUCCAUUACUGACGCUGAGGUGCGAAAGCGUGGGGAGCAAACAGGAUUAGAUACCCCCGUAGUCC